UGUUCUUGCCGGUUUCCCCAUCAUAAAUGAACAAGCUGUCGCAUCGCUUCCUACUAUCUGCAAAAUUCAGAUUGAUUUCCCAAUCUCCAAGAACAUCAAUUGUUAGGAUAUCCACUAAGAUGAAAGCCAUCAAGAAAUUAAAGAAAUAAGGGCGCCGAAGAGGGAGCCAUUAAUUAGGUAAGCAUAGGAAGGCGAAAAGAGCAAGAAACGGGCCAAAAACGGACAAAAUGAGCCUAAUUCAGUGUUUCACACGGCCUAGGCACUUCCACAUGUGUGACACACGAGUAAACCACACGCCCAUG